rnacentral:tRNA from 1 species
GGAGGCGUAGCGCAGUCGCCCGGUGGUGGGGUCGAAGGCGCCCGGGGUGCCGAGCCGGUGGACGUCGGCGCGGGUCAGUCCCGCCGCCUUCA